UUUGCUUUGCCUGCCAAGGACAUUUGACUGCUACUGUGCUACAUCAGGGAAUCUACAAAGAUAGCAUUCUUGAGCAGCUGGAAUGACUCACGGCACGGCGAUGGAGCCGCGUCGUCUCGGCAUGGGCAGCUAUUAAUGGUCUGGAUUCAGUAACACGAUUAUCCACACAGCUAUAUAUCAAGUUCAUCAUGUGAAUGGGGAACCUAAAGAUGAGUCCACGCAGGAGUGCCAAACGGAAUGAACAGAACCCCCUAAAGUUGUAACUUGGCUUUGCAACAAAGGGGAAAUCGUCUGCUUGUGGAAGAAACGUUCAUUUUCUUUUUAAUUGUACUGCAAUUAGGUAAAGCAAGAAUAGGGACAACAACCCAUGAUGUGGUCAGGAAGGA
rnacentral:lncRNA from 1 species